rnacentral:rRNA from 1 species
UACGGAGGGUGCAAGCGUUAUCCGGAUUCACUGGGUUUAAAGGGUGCGUAGGCGGGUAUAUAAGUCAGUGGCGAAAGCUCCGGGCUUAACUUGGAAACUGCCAUUGAUACUGUAUAUCUUGAAUGUCGUAGAGGUUAGCGGAAUGUUGCAUGUAGCGGUGAAAUGCUUAGAUAUGUUACAGAACACCAAUUGCGAAGGCAGCUAACUAUGCGAUGAUUGACGCUGAGGCACGAAAGCGUGGGGAGCAAACAGG